CUGCAGUCCCUUCCGCCCUCCGAAGUUCGGUCCGCAUGUGCGGCAGUGAGGAGCCCUGCUGGGGGCUCAGUGCCCCCGGCCCCACGCUCCUUCUGAGUCUGCUGCUGUCUGCCGCCCCGUCUGGCUUGCUGGGGGAGGAGACUCGCCAGGUGUCUUUGGAAGUCAGCCCUGACUGGCCGGUACCCCACCUGCUUCAUAUCCGAGCAGUGGGUACCAACUCCACGCUGCACUACGUGUGGAGCAGCUUGGGGCCUCCAGCAGUGCUACUGGUGGCCACCAACACCCCCAACAGCACCCUGAGUAUCGACUGGGUCCGCCUUCUCUCUUCUGAGCCUGAUGGGGGCCUGAUGGUGCUUCCCAAGGACAGCAUCCAGUUUUCUUCUGCCCUUGUCUUUACCAGGCUGUUUGAAUUCGACAGCACCAACACUUCGGACACAGCAGAAAAACCUCCAGGAAAACCGUAUACCCCGUAUUCCUUGGCCAACUUCUCCUGGAGCAACAUCACUGACUCAUUGGAUCCUGCCACCCUGAGUGCCACAUUUCAAGGCCACCCCACUCAUGACCCCACCAGGGCUUUUGCCAAUGGUAGCCUAGCUCUCAGGGUGCAGGCCUUCUCCAGAACCAGUCGGCCAGCCCAACCCCCUCGCCUCCUGCACACAGCAGACACCUGCCAGCUCGAGGUGGCCCUGGUUGGGGCCUCUCCCCGGGGAAACGGCUCCCUGUUUGGGCUGGAGGUAGCCACCGUGGGCCAGGGCCCCGACUGUCCCUCCGCCCAGAAGCGGUACUCCAUCGAUGAUGAAUACACACCUGCCAUCUUCCAGAUGGACCAGCUGUUAUGGGGUCCCCUACCAUCAGGCUUUGCGCAGUGGCGACCAGUGGCUUUCUCCCAGAAGCAGGGGGGCCGAGACUCAGCCAUGCACUGCCAAGCUUCCCCACUUUACCCCACCUUGGCCUACCUUCUCCCCAAGUCGCCCAUUAUCCAAGGCUUCUUUGGGUCUCGGAACAACUUCUGUGUCUUCAAUCUGACAUUUGGGGCUUCCACAGGCCCUGGCUACUGGGACCAACAGUACCUCAGCUGGUCGAUGGUCCUGGGUAUGGGCAGCCCUCCAGUGGAUGCCUUGUCCCCGUUAGUCCUAAGCAUCAUGGUGGUGGCUUUGGGGGCCCCAGGGCUCAUGAUGCUGGCAGGAGGCCUGUUUCUCCUGCUGGGUCACAAGCGGCACUCAGAAUACCAGCCUAUAAAUUGAGGCCCACUCUCCAGAGGGAAGGACAUUACUGAUCCCACCUUGCUGGUCUGAAGGUUUGAAGAUCAACAUUCCCAGCCAGUGGCUCCCUUCUCCCAUCUUGCUUUUCUACAGAAACUCAGAGGCCACCCUCUACUUCCUGGGGACCCCCAGAUGAAGAAACUAAGACUCCAGAGGGGUUAAGUAAGACCGGUCCAAGGUCACACAUUGGGGAAAUAGUAAAAUUGUGACUUGAACCCAAGCCUGUUUGUUAGCUCCCUCUCCUGCCAUUUUCGAGGGGCAGAGGGAAAAAAAGAGAGCAAGGAAGCCAGCUUCAAAAGGACUUGAAGCCCAGAGAGACGGAUCAACCACACCAAAUUUCCCCUCUUGGAAGAUCCACUCAAAAUACACACACCUCAGUGGAGGGGGGCAGCAGCUUCCUCUUAAUAUAUGAAAGACUACUUAUUAUGAAAUUGACGUGCCUUUACUUUUUUUGCCCAUGAAAUAGAGGAAAAAGUGCUGCUCCUCUACUGCCCAGGAGGCAGCCUGGCAUAAUAAUAAAAGUUCACAGAUAGUGAAGCCUUACCAAGUACCAGACUGUUAAAGCACACUACAUGAAUUAACUCAUUCCAUUCUCACAACAACUCCUAUUUAUAGAUGAUAAAACUAAAACUGAGGCCUAAGGACCCUGGAUUCUAGUCCUGCCACUGCUGUUGACUGACCUGAGCAACUUGUCUCCCCCAGUCUGUUGUGAUUUCCUCUCUGUCAAAUGGGUAAGACAGACUAGACAGACGCCGAGUCUUCCUUUAGCUCCCUGAUCAUUCUUACUGCUUAAGCCAACUUUCCGCUGAGAUCAGCAUUCCCAGAGUGGGGAAUGGGAGGUUGAGUCACGUGAACAGAAACAUGCUUAUCUUGGGAAUCGUCUACUGAAAGAAAAUGCAAGGCUGUGUGAUGGUCAGGAGGCUGGUGGGACAGAUGACUGAUAGACUACAAUCAGAAGCAACAGGAAGACAGAUCUUAGCUCAACAGGAAGACUGUUUUAACACUUAAAUCUACCUGGAAGCCUAUAUCGAAAGUAACAAAAGGAAAUGUAUUAGAAAAAAAAUGAAAAGACUGCAUUUGGAGUAGAAAUUCAAAGGUGCUUCUGGGUUAGUGUUCACAUGAAACUAUCCCUAAGGAUUUCAGGUGAUUUCUAAAUGGAAGGAGAGUAAUGAGACUGCCGUAAUUGACUGUAUGAACAGAAGGACGAUACUCUUGACCAUGGUCUCCCAACCUCCAUUGACACUCAGGAGCAUUUCCUGCCCAGAAGGAAGGAGCAAGGACAAUGAAGGGAGCAGAACCAUUUGGCAAAGUGGACAUGAGGAGCAGGGUGUUGGCGUGGGGAACUGAGACCUGUUGUCAAGUAUCUGGAUUUGACCUCUGCAAGUGCAGAGGUCAGUCAGGUUAGCAGUUUUUAGUGCCAUAUAAAGAACUUUGUAAAACUUA